CUGCCCGUAAACUCGGGAUAACAUGGGGAAACUCAUGCUAAUACCGGAUAGGGUCUUCUCUCGCAUGAGAGGAGACGGAAAGGUGGCGCAAGCUACCACUUACGGAUGGGCCUGCGGCGCAAUAGCUAGUUGGUGGGGUAACGGCCUACCAAGGCGACGAUGCGUAGCCGACCUGAGAGGGUGACCGGCCACACUGGGACUGAGACACGGCCCAGACUCCUACCGGAGGCAGCACUAGGGAAUUUUCCACAAUGGACGAAAGUCUGAUGGAGCAACGCCGCGUGAACGAUGAAGGUCUUCGGAUUGUAAAGUUCUGUUGUCAGAGACGAACAAGUACCGUUCGAACAGGGCGGUACCUUGACGGUACCUGACGAGAAAGCCACGGCUAACUACGUGCCAGCAGCCGCGGUAAUACGUAGGUGGCAAGCGUUGUCCGGAAUUAUUGGGCGUAAAGCGCGCGCAGGCGGCUAUGUAAGUCUGGUGUUAAAGCCCGGGGCUCAACCCCGGUUCGCAUCGGAAACUGUGUAACUUGAAUGCAGAAGAAGAAAGCGGUAUUCCACGUGUAGCGGUGAAAUGCGUAGAGAUGUGGAGGAACCCAGUGGCGAAAGCGGCUUUCUGGUCUGAACUGACGCUGAAGCGCGAAACGUGGGGAGCAAAAGGAUUAGAUACCCUGGUAGUCCCGCCGUAACGAUGACGCUAGUGUUUGGGGGUUCAUACCCUCGGUGCCGCACCUAAGCAUUAACACUCCCCCGGGGAAUACCUCGCAGAGUGAACUCCAGGAUUGACGGGGCCGCACAACGGGGAACAGUGGUUUAUUCCCAACAUCCUAAAAACUUACCGGGCCUUGACUUCCGGUGACGUCCAGAGAAAGGCUUCCUUCGGGCGCCGUUACGGGGGGGCAUGAUUUCGUCACUUUGUCGUAAAAGUUGGGUAAAUCCGUACUAAGCACCCUAACUUAAUGCCGCAUUAGUUGGCACUUUAAAUGCUGCGUGAAAAACGAAGAAGGCGGGAUAAGUCAAGAUC
rnacentral:rRNA from 1 species